GCCAGUGUGAUGGAAUUGGUAGACAUGACGGAUUCAAAAUCCGUUGCCUUUACGGGCGUGGCGGUUCAAGUCCGCCCACUGGUACCA
rnacentral:tRNA from 1 species